UACGUAGGGGGGCUAGCGUUGUCCGGAAUCAUUGGGCGUAAAGAGCGUGUAGGCGGCCCCGGUAAGUCCGCUGUGAAAGUCGGGGGGCUCAACCCUCGAAUGCCGGUGGAUACUGUCGGGCUAGAGUGCGGAAGAGGCGAGUGGAAUUCCUGGUGUAGCGGUGAAAUGCGCAGAUAUCAGGAGGAACACCAAUUGCGAAGGCAGCUCGCUGGGGACGUAACUGACGCUGAGACGCGAAAAGCGUGGGGGAGCAAACAGG
rnacentral:rRNA from 1 species